rnacentral:rRNA from 1 species
UAGGGAAUCUUCGGCAAUGGACGAAAGUCUGACCGAGCAACGCCGCGUGAGUGAAGAAGGUUUUCGGAUCGUAAAACUCUGUUGUUAGAGAAGAACAAGGACGUUAGUAACUGAACGUCCCCUGACGGUAUCUAACCAGAAAGCCACGGCUAACUACGUGCCAGCAGCCGCGGUAAUACGUAGGUGGCAAGCGUGGUCCGGAUUUAUUGGGCGUAAAGCGAGCGCAGGCGGUUUCUUAAGUCUGAUGUGAAAGCCCCCGGCUCAACCGGGGAGGGUCAUUGGAAACUGCGAGACUUGAGUGCAGAAGAGGAGAGUGGAAUUCCAGGUGUAGCGGUGAAAUGCGUAGAUAUAUGGAGGAACACCAGUGGCGAAGGCGGCUCUCUGGUCUGUAACUGACGCUGAGGCUCGAAAGCGUGGGGAGCAAACAGG